rnacentral:tRNA from 1 species
GGUAACAUGGCCGAGUGGUUCAAGGCGCCAGGUAUGUAAAAUCCGCUUGCCCCAGUUUAGAAAAAAAUACUAAUUCUCCCAAAGACUUAAGAGAAUCACUGAUUGUGAGCGUUCUGGUCACGAAAGUGGCGUGGGUUCGAACCCCACUGUUACCA